rnacentral:lncRNA from 10 species
UGUCACCAGGGCGUGAGAAGAGAAUGAGGCUUCCUCGGGAGCUGUCUUCACCAUGCCCACCACCUGUGUGGCCUCUUCAGGUCCCUGCCCUGAAGGAGCUGCUGGCUGCUUAGUCGCUCAGUGGCCCUGAGCCAGCCACUCAGCAUUUGAAAGAUUAGAGAGAGUUAGAAGACACUGACUCCCCCAUCCAGAUCUGCCACCCAGUGGUCACAUCGUCCACUUCAAACCCAUUUCUGAGAUGCCUCCAAUGUUAACUGAGUCUCAUCCUGAGGCCAUCAGUAUCUAGGAUGUUCUGAAACACAGCUGGAAAGGAAGAACUUAGGAAGAGUCGUCAGAACAGAGGGGCCAGGAAUAUUAAAUCUGACCACAGCAAGGAGAAAGGGACAUGCCCAGCAGCGGGCAGGUGUCCAGAAAGAGCCUACGGCAGGUUUCUCCAGGGAGCCAGGCGCAGUGCCAGAGUAUAGGCAGACACACCCCUGCCACACUGACUCAGGCAUACUGGGUAGACAGGAACAUGCCCAGGUUUUGGGGAAAACUGAUGUUGUUUCCAGCUGGGUCUGCCUAUUACCAACAAACAUAGGAUUUGCAUUCACUGCAAAAUGUCUGAAAGAGUAGCAGGAGGAGAAGGAAAGACUGGGAGAGCUUGUUCAGGCGAGAAGAAACACAGCUGCUGUCUCCACACCCACAUCUCUUCCAUCCAAGGACGUCAGAGCCCCACCACUGGCUGCUGAUUAAAGCUCCUGGCUGCCUGCCAGGGAGGCUGCUGCUGGGGGAGGUGCUCAGGUUGCCAAGGGGCAGCAGCAGCUGGAGCCAGCCAGACACCGGCCAAGAGGUGGUCUUGGCUACAAGUCCAGUGCCUGCUCAGCGCCUCACGUUCGUAAGUGCUGGUUACUUCCCUGAAGCCACAUAAACCUUUAAUCCUAUGGGAAUGGAGACGCAAGGGACCUAGGAGUCUCAGCUCCUACGUUCAGCCCUAGCGAGAUACUCAGUCCCUUUCUCCAGGGCUGCUGGCUGCACAGGCAGUGCUGGAAGGCCACGCGGAAGAAUGGCAUCUGUGAGCUGCCCUUGGGGAAGAGAGCUUUCCCUGACUUCCUGACGAGAAGGCUGAUAACGAGGGGGCACCCAGCAGCUGCUUUCUGGAGUGACCUGGCAUCCCAGGGUCCCGUCUGCACUACAGCCUGGAUCUAGCCUUGGGGCUUGGAGGCAGGCAGGGUAUGUUUAUCCCACACAGUGAGCCCUAGCAAAGGUGAUUAGGAGCACCAAUCCCUUUCAGGGACGUCACACAUGGCAUCACCGCAGCCCUGCUGAGGGAGUUCUCAGAGCAGUUCACACUUCACUUCCCAAAACCAGAAUCAGGCACAGUGGACAGGAAGAUGCGCAGGGCUGUGCACUAGGGACCUUUAGCCUGGGGGGACUUGCAGCAUCAUCAACACCAUUUCUUCUCCAUGCAAUCCACCUCCUUCUCUCCCAGGAGAAAACAGCCUCUCACCACACAUUACACUGGGGCUUCUGAGGCACCCAGAGCCUGGGAGGUGGGGGAUGCUCAGCAGGACCCCCAAGUGCUUCCCAGGGCCACAGCCCCAGGUGAAGGGGAGAUGCUUAGUCUGGAGCAGGUCUGCCUGCCCACUGCCGAGGGCUCCCUCGCAGACCUGGGCCUCCUUCAGGGCACUGUCCUUACCGUAGCAGAGGUGCAGCCCCACCUCUAGUCCCCCACAGGGACGAAGGCAAACACCCCAGCCCUUUACUACUUCUUUCCCAUCUCCCGUCUCACACCAGUGGGUACCUGAGACCAGCCAGGUACCACAGCACUAAGCACCAGGCAAGAGGAAAGUGGUGAAAACCACCUCUCCCAGCCCCUCCCUGUAAUUUGCUAAAUUGCUGACAUACAGAAAUGUUCCAGACUUUCCGUAAUUCUCCAGAGAAGGCUUUAUAAGAGCGCGGAGACUCAGGGGAUUAGGUGGUUUUUAUCUCAAAUCACGCAGGAAGUUACCAACAGAAUUAAGGACUAGAACCCAGAUGUCCUGACUUCCCCUCCAGCAGUUUUGUCUUUCGUGAGUGAGGUCUUGUUUCUUCUGCCUGGCCUCCCAUGCACUUACCUGUAUGAACGGAUUGGCCUUUACCAGAACGUGCUCUAAUGUAAAAAGGUUCAGGCGGGCUCACGGGACACCUGGAGAGGUGGGCUGCAGGAAGGAUCUGUGGCUCCCUUGGCCCCCAGUGCAGCCUGCCACAGCGGGGACAUGCAGGGGGAAGCCGUGCAAGCCGUGUGCUGAAUUCUUGCUUUCUUCUCGGUCAGCUGCUCCCCAGAGCAGCUCCCUAAGCCUGGGUGACAGCCUCCCAGGCUCCCUGCACAGACCCCAUGGAGUCCUAAGGGGCCUGCUCCAGGUAAGGUCCUGAGGCGCAUGCCCUAGGCCUCUGGCAGCUGCUGUCUUGGGCUCUCCCUGUCCCUUGAGCCAGGCCUCUGGCUCAUCCUCCUUUCCGACAAGUUGGGGGGCUGACCUCUGUUACUCAAAGCCCUGGGAUUCUCCUCAAUUUUGCAGGCUUCCUUCAAGUCUGUUCUUGCCCCAGAACCAGCUCCAUAUCCAGACUCACUGACCCACAGGCCUCAGGCCAGAUCGGUGGAAAGAGGAGAGG